rnacentral:rRNA from 1 species
AGUGAACGCUGGCGGCAGGCCUAACACAUGCAAGUCGAACGGCAGCACAGGGGUAGCAAUACCCUGGGUGGCGAGUGGCGGACGGGUGAGGAAUACGUCGGAAUCUGCCUAUUUGUGGGGGAUAACGUAGGGAAACUUACGCUAAUACCGCAUACGACCUACGGGUGAAAGCGGAGGACCUUCGGGCUUCGCGCAGAUAGAUGAGCCGACGUCGGAUUAGCUAGUUGGCGGGGUAAAGGCCCACCAAGGCGACGAUCCGUAGCUGGUCUGAGAGGAUGAUCAGCCACACUGGAACUGAGACACGGUCCAGACUCCUACGGGAGGCAGCAGUGGGGAAUAUUGGACAAUGGGCGCAAGCCUGAUCCAGCCAUGCCGCGUGUGUGAAGAAGG